UGGGGAAUAUUGCACAAUGGGCGCAAGCCUGAUGCAGCCAUGCCGCGUGUGUGAAGAAGGCCUCGGUUGUAAAGCACUUUCAGCGAGGAGGAAGGUGGUGAGCUUAAUACGCUCAUCAAUUGACGUUACUCGCAGAAGAAGCACCGGCUAACUCCGUGCCAGCAGCCGCGGUAAUACGGAGGGUGCAAGCGUUAAUCGGAAUUACUGGGCGUAAAGCGCAUGCAGGCGGUUUGUUAAGUCAGAUGUGAAAUCCCCCGGGCUCAACCUGGGAACUGCAUUUGAAACUGGCAAGCUAGAGUCUCGUAGAGGGGGGCUAGAAUUCCAGGUGUAGCGGUGAAAUGCGUAGAGAUCUGGAGGAAUACCGGUGGCGAAGGCGGCCCCCUGGANGAAGACUGACGCUCAGGUGCG
rnacentral:rRNA from 1 species